rnacentral:rRNA from 1 species
AUGGAAUUGAGUUUGCCACAUACGCUUCAUCUUUUUAAUAUCUUUCGUGAGUAUGAUGGAAAGGAAUAUUGUGCUCAAGUGCUAGAAGAAGAAAUCUAUAGAAUGUUUGGCACUAAAUCUUUGUAUGAUGAGCAAGAUUGCAAUGUUGUUAGUAUGAAUUCUAUGAAUAUCCAUGAUGCUAAUGAUAUGCAAAGCCACAAGCUUGGGGAAGCUAUGUUUGAUGAAGAUGAUAUUUUUUGUGCCCCAAGUUUUGAUGAGCAAAUUUAUUAUGAUGAAAGCAUGCCUCCUAUUUAUGAUGAUUAUUGUGAUGAUACGUAUGCUAUAAAUAAUAAUUAUAACCGUGAAACUUGUCAUCUUGAUCUUAAUUUUCAAUCACAUGAUAGUUAUUUUGUUGAGUUUGCUCCCACUACUAUUGAUGAGAAUAAAUUUGCUUAUGUGGAGAGUAGUAAAAUUUCUAUGCUUGUGCAUCAUGAAAAUAAUGCUUUAUGUGCUGGUUAUAUUGUUGAAUUCAUUCAUGAUGCUACUGAAAAUUAUUAUGAGAGAGGAUCAUAUGCUUGUAGGAGUUGCAAUAAUAUCAAGUUUCCUCUCUAUGUGCUUAAAGUUUUGAAGUUAUGCUUGUUUUGCCUUCCUAUGCUAGUUGAUUAUUGUUCCCAUAAGUUAUUUGCUCACAAAAUCCCUACGCAUAGGAAGUGGGUUAGACUUAAAUAUGCUAGUCAUAUUCCUCAUGAUGCUCUCUUUAUGUUUCAAUUCUUAUCUUUUAUGCGAGCAUCAUUGAAAUCAUCAUGCCUAGCUAGGGGCGUUAAACGUUAG